rnacentral:rRNA from 1 species
UGGCGAACGGGUGAGUAACGCGUAGGAAUAUGCCUUAAAGUGGGGGACAACCUGGGGAAACUCAGGCUAAUACCGCAUAAUCUCUUCGGAGAAAAGCUGGGGACCUUCGGGCCUGGCGCUUUAAGAUUAGCCUGCGUCCGAUUAGCUAGUUGGUGGGGUAAGGGCCUACCAAGGCGACGAUCGGUAGCUGGUCUGAGAGGAUGGCCAGCCACACUGGGACUGAGACACGGCCCAG